CGGCUUGAUGAAGAUGAUAUUGUGUCUUAUUUUCUUACUGGGCUUGAUUCUGAAUAUAAUCUGCUUAUUGAGGCUAUGAGUGCAAGAAUUGACCCUAUUAGUUUAAGUGAUCUUUAUGCUCAACUCUUAUCCAUUGAGA